AAAAUCCAUUUUGCGGACGUUACCAUAUCAAUUAAUAAGGGAGUGAGGUAGUCCAGAUAAGGACUUCUUAUUCUGCGGGUAAUAUGCUUUGCGUAGACUCAACAUAAUAAAAAACGGCCUGGAGAUGAUGU
rnacentral:sRNA from 1 species